CGAAUAAAACUGUGUAAAGGUAAAGUAUUCAGAUAACCGAACACACUCUACUCUACUAAAUAGUCUAAAUUAAUUAGUCUGGACAGUCGGGUAGUGUCUUAACAAACAAACACACUUGAUUACUUCUACUUGAACUCUCUCAGUCUCAGAUCUACUUUACUCUCUCUCUCUCUCAGUCCUCACCUCACUCCUCAGAUCUCGAACUCUCUCUGUCUCUCAGAUCCAGACGAGUGACGACCGACGCGGCGACGCCCUGAGGCCCCAGACCCAGUCACCCACCUCUCGAUUUCUGUCAUCGGUCGACGCCGACGGCGCCAAUCGGUCCUUCAUCUCGAAAGGUACUUUUGUCUCAGAUAUGGAUGAAAGGAUGAAGGAAUGUGCAGUGGGUGUUGAAAUUCAAAGUAACCAGUCUCCGAAAUGCUUUGAUGAUGAGUUUUGUAAUUCAAAGAGUUUAUUAGAGAGUUUAAUUUGGGUUUUUAUCAUUUUUUGAAUUGUUUUUAGUUGAAAGUCAGUUUAUUAAUUUGGGUUUUUAUCAUAUUUUGAACUGUUUUUAGUUGAACUGUUUUGGUUUAAUUUGGGUUUUUAUCAUUUUUUGAACUGUGUUGCUUGGUUUAAUGGCAACAGCAACAGCAGCACUGCAGCAACACUUUUGCUUUUGCUUAUGCUUAUGCUUAUGUUUACCCCUUGAAUGUUCAAGUCUUCAACAGCAGCACUGCAGCAGCUAGCAACUGAACUGUCAACUGUGUUGCUGCUAGUUUAUGUUUAUGGAUUGAAUGUAAUUUUGUUUAUGGAUUGUAAUUAUGAACUGAACUGUGUUGCUGUUAGUUUUUUAAUUCGGUUUUUAACCGAAAAAACCGAAUAACCUAAGUUAUUCGGUUAGUGCAAAUUUCGGUUAUUUAUUCGGAUAUCAAAAACAGUAUUUAUUCGGGUAUCGGUUAUAACCGAACUUGCGAUUCGGUUCGGUUAUUAACCAAAUGCUCAGUCCUAUUAGUUUAUGCAUAUAUUUGAUUUGAUGAUAAAAUAAGAACUUAAUGUAUAUUUAUAAAAUUAAUAACUUUGAUAAAGUUUUUAAAAUGAUUUAGUG
rnacentral:lncRNA from 1 species